UACGUAGGAUCCAAGCGUUGUCCGGAUUUACUGGGUGUAAAGGGUGCGCAGGCGGACUUGUUAGUCAGAGGUGAAAUCUCACUGCUCAACAGUGAAACUGCCUUUGAUACUGCAGGUCUUUGAAUCCAGAAGAGAGUUGUGGAAUUCCGAGUGUAGCAGUGAAAUGUGUAGAUAUUCGGAAGAACACCAGCGGCGAAGGCAGCAACUUGGUCUGGUAUUGACGCUCAGGCACGAAAGCAUGGGGAUCAAACAGGAGUUAGAAAACCCGGAUGUAACG
rnacentral:rRNA from 1 species